UUCGAGGAUAUUAUCUUCCACCGCAUGAGCCCUCGCGCGAGAAUCCUUAGCGUAAGUGAUGGUCCAUUCAUGUUCCUUUCUUACUUAGAUUCUGCACCUUUUCUUACUGAUGAUGAUCUUUACCCCUAUAUGGUUCAUUCGUGUUCCUUUCUUACUUAGAUUCUGCACCUUUUCUUACUGAUGAUGAUCUUUACCCCUAUAUGGUUCAUUCGUGUUCCUUUCUUACUUAGAUUCUGCACCUUUUCUUACUGAUGAUGAUCUUUACCCCUAUAUGGUUCAUUCGUGUUCCUUUCUUACUUAGAUUCUGCACCUUUUCUUACUGAUGAUGAUCUUUACCCCUAUACAACUCACAGGGUGUCUACAAGGCCACUCCUGCUCAGGUUCGAGCUGUCCAGCAGUUUACAAGGAAGCAACUCAAGUUGGACCCAGUGGUGGUGGAUCCUAUCGCCGCCGAAGUUCACCGGGAGUUCACAAGGACUGCAGGCCUGGGAGAGAACGUGAUGUCCGCCAGUGAUGUGGCCAGGAUCCUCAAGAUCAGGGAGGGUAUGUCAAGCCUCCACCCAGAUGAUCAGAAGAAGCUGGAGAUGAUCAAGAUCUUCGUGGACAACAUAAAUGCUGGCUCAGCUAUCUGCACGGCUGGUGGUUCCGUUUUGGGAGGCAUGUGGACUCUUCGCCAUUGGAAUACAAGUUUCCCCAUGUCCGACCUGCCGGAAGAUUGGGUUUGGUAGGGAGGUGCCUUCUGUUUGAUCUCUUGCGCCACUCACAGUUUUGGAGUCCUUAGUCCUUCCUGCAAUACCUUCAUCCUUGUUUUGCGGUUGCUAGUCUGUUCUGCGGUAUCUUCAGUUCUUAUUUUGCAAGUCCUGAUGCUAGAUUUUGCCAGACUGUGUUUUGCAACGGCUGCAACGAAUUAUGCAAGUCAUUCUGCAAUGAUUGGAAGCUACAGUCAUGUGGUGUUAUUAUGAACAUGGGUUCAUGAAAUGGUUUCCUUGAAUGGAAUUUGGUUCAAAAUC
rnacentral:lncRNA from 1 species